UGUCCUCUUCCUAUCUGAAACUUUGAAGCUUAUGUACAGAGCAAAUGCCAGGGCUAGCAAAACUAAUGCUGGUCCUAGAUUUACCUACUGAUUUAAAAUUUAAAAAAAAAAUAGUAAAAUAAAAAAAUGUUUUAUAAACCCAGGG